rnacentral:rRNA from 1 species
GACGAACGCUUGCGGCGUGCUUAACACAUGCAAGUCGAACGGAAAGGCCCUGCUUUUGUGGGGUGCUCGAGUGGCGAACGGGUGAGUAACACGUGAGUAACCUGCCCUUGACUUUGGGAUAACUUCAGGAAACUGGGGCUAAUACCGGAUAGGAGCUCCUGCUGCAUGGUGGGGGUUGGAAAGUUUCGGCGGUUGGGGAUGGACUCGCGGCUUAUCAGCUUGUUGGUGGGGUAGUGGCUCACCAAGGCUUUGACGGGUAGCCGGCCUGAGAGGGUGACCGGCCACAUUGGGACUGAGAUACGGCCCAGACUCCUACGGGAGGCAGCAGUGGGGAAUAUUGCACAAUGGGCGGAAGCCUGAUGCAGCAACGCCGCGUGCGGGAUGACGGCCUUCGGGUUGUAAACCGCUUUCGCCUGUGACGAAGCGUGAGUGACGGUAAUGGGUAAAGAAGCACCGGCUAACUACGUGCCAGCAGCCGCGGUGAUACGUAGGGUGCGAGCGUUGUCCGGAUUUAUUGGGCGUAAAGGGCUCGUAGGUGGUUGAUCGCGUCGGAAGUGUAAUCUUGGGGCUUAACCCUGAGCGUGCUUUCGAUACGGGUUGACUUGAGGAAGGUAGGGGAGAAUGGAAUUCCUGGUGGAGCGGUGGAAUGCGCAGAUAUCAGGAGGAACACCAGUGGCGAAGGCGGUUCUCUGGGCCUUUCCUGACGCUGAGGAGCGAAAGCGUGGGGAGCGAACAGGCUUAGAUACCCUGGUAGUCCACGCUGUAAACGGUGGGUACUAGGUGUGGGGUCCAUUCCACGGGUUCCGUGCCGUAGCUAACGCUUUAAGUACCCCGCCUGGGGAGUACGGCCGCAAGGCUAAAACUCAAAGGAAUUGACGGGGCCCCGCACAAGCGGCGGAGCAUGCGGAUUAAUUCGAUGCAACGCGUAGAACCUUACCUGGGUUUGACAUGGAUCGGGAGUACUCAGAGAUGGGUGUGCCUCUUUUGGGGUCGGUUCACAGGUGGUGCAUGGCUGUCGUCAGCUCGUGUCGUGAGAUGUUGGGUUAAGUCCCGCAACGAGCGCAACCCUUGUUCACUGUUGCCAGCACGUUAUGGUGGGGACUCAGUGGAGACCGCCGGGGUCAACUCGGAGGAAGGUGGGGAUGACGUCAAGUCAUCAUGCCCCUUAUGUCCAGGGCUUCACGCAUGCUACAAUGGCUGGUACAGAGAGUGGCGAGCCUGUGAGGGUGAGCGAAUCUCGGAAAGCCGGUCUCAGUUCGGAUUGGGGUCUGCAACUCGACCUCAUGAAGUCGGAGUCGCUAGUAAUCGCAGAUCAGCAACGCUGCGGUGAAUACGUUCCCGGGGCU